rnacentral:rRNA from 1 species
UGGGGAAUUUUGGACAAUGGGCGAAAGCCUGAUCCAGCAAUGCCGCGUGUGUGAAGAAGGCCUUCGGGUUGUAAAGCACUUUUGUCCGGAAAGAAAUCCUUGGCUCUAAUACAGUCGGGGGAUGACGGUACCGGAAGAAUAAGCACCGGCUAACUACGUGCCAGCAGCCGCGGUAAUACGUAGGGUGCAAGCGUUAAUCGGAAUUACUGGGCGUAAAGCGUGCGCAGGCGGUUUGCUAAGACCGAUGUGAAAUCCCCGGGCUCAACCUGGGAACUGCAUUGGUGACUGGCAGGCUAGAGUAUGGCAGAGGGGGGUAGAAUUCCACGUGUAGCAGUGAAAUGCGUAGAGAUGUGGAGGAAUACCGAUGGCGAAGGCAGCCCCCUGGGCCAAUACUGACGCUCAUGCACGAAAGCGUGGGGAGCAAACAGGAUUAGAUACCCUGGUAGUCCACGCCCUAAACGAUGUCAACUAGUUGUUGGGGAUUCAUUUCCUAGUAACGUAGCUAACGCGUGAAGUUGACCGCCUGGGGAGUACGGUCGCAAGAUUAAAACUUAAAGGAAUUGACGGGGUCAUAGCUG